rnacentral:rRNA from 1 species
UACGUAGGGUGCAAGCGUUGUCCGGAAUUAUUGGGCGUAAAGGGCUCGUAGGCGGUCCAUCGCGUCGGGAGUGAAAAGCUGGGACUCAACCCCAGUCCUGCUUCCGAUACGGGUGGACUAGAGGUAGGCAGGGGAGAACGGAAUUCCUGGUGUAGCGGUGAAAUGCGCAGAUAUCAGGAGGAACACCGGUGGCGAAGGCGGGUCUCUGGGCCGAUAUUGACGCUGAGGAGCGAAAGCGUGGGGAGCAAACAGG